ensembl:lncRNA
AUUUUACAUGGUGGACACUAAAAAAUAAAAAUGGAACCAAGAGACACCAAACUCAAGCUGCUUCUAGUGUCAUCUGCCAAGUCUCUGUGACUGAGAACUUGCCUAACAUCUCCUAAGCACUUUCCCUCAGUAAGUUUGUGAAAGGAAGCCAGCAGGAUCAGGAAGCCACCGGAAAGAAGAAAGCCAUUACUUUAUCUCCCGGAGGACAGCAAAGGACCAGUGUUACCCUGAAACAGGCUAGAAAUGGAAGAACAAAAUAAGUAUCUACAAAAUCCUACCCUGAAAUUCAGAUAAUGGACUCAUAGAAGGGCUUGGGUUGGAAGAGAGCAGGUUUCCCAGAGCUCCAUCCAACUUGGCAGGUCUCCUCCAGACACCUGAGCAGACCUGGCAUACGGACACCUAUGAGCAGAAGAGCACAGCUCCACUCACGGAGCCCUCACCAGCACCCUUCUCAGACACAGACACUCAAGGGAAGCACAGAAGGGCAUGAGUACAUUCUAUCACAUGAUUGGUCCCAUAAAUUGGUGGUAUUUAAAGUUAACCAUAUUUUGAAGUGUUUUGCUGGAUCAAACAUUAAGCCAAGGAUUUCUCAGUUCAAACAUCUAAGCUAAUAUCCUC